UACGGGGGGGGCAAGCGUUGUUCGGAAUUACUGGGCGUAAAGCGCGCGUAGGCGGCUCUUCAAGUCGAGUGUGAAAUCUCCAGGCUUAACCUGGAAAGGUCGCUCGAUACUGUUGAGCUAGAGUGUGGAAGGGGCUACUGGAAUUCCGUGUGUAGCGGUGAAAUGCGUAGAUAUACGGAGGAACACCAGCGGCGAAGGCAGCUCGCUGGGACGUUACUGACGCUGAGACGCGAAAGCGUGGGGAGCAAACAGG
rnacentral:rRNA from 1 species